GGGCGGUUAGCUCAGGGGUAGAGCACUGUCUUCACACGGCAGGGGUCGCUGGUUCGAAGCCAGCACCGCCCACCA
rnacentral:tRNA from 1 species